UACGUAGGUGGCAAGCGUUGUCCGGAUUUACUGGGCGUAAAGAGCGCGCAGGCGGUCGUUCAAGUCGAGUGUGAAAGCCCCCGGCUCAACUGGGGAGGGUCACUCGAUACUGAUCGACUCGAAGGCAGAAGAGGGAAGCGGAAUUCCCGGUGUAGUGGUGGAAUGCGUAGAUAUCGGGAGGAACACCAGUGGCGAAGGCGGCUCUCUGGACCGGUUCUGACGCUCAGGCGCGAAAGCGUGGGGAGCGAACAGG
rnacentral:rRNA from 1 species